GGACCACCAAUCAGAAUUGUUGAUGUAGGCAUUAGCAAAGCUGCAUAGUUUUUUUCAAGUUGCUCUUCCUGGUGUGCGGAUUGAUUCUUGCAAUUCCAGCACGACAACCUUUCAUCGUGAAACUCGAAGACAGCGGGGCCACAAUUUGACGUGGCAUCCUUCUAACUGGUUCACGGCCACAUAUAAUAACCAUGUUGGAAGUGAAGAGGACCGACCAAAGUACUCCCACCAAACUGCACAGUGACAACACCAACUCAACAGUCACAGACGUCUGCUGUCCACCGCCGUCGACUAUCUUAAAGAGAAAAAACGGCGAAUGUUUUAUUGAAACGACCCAUCAGUUGAAUUUAGUACCGAGGUGUCAUUUUCAUGGGCAAGGUAUUUCAGCUAUGUAUAUGUGAUUGGGUUGGUUCUAGUGAAAGUGUCUUUGAUCUUCUCUUCCGUUCUUCCUCAGUAAUCUAUAUCUUUUAGCAUGGCUUAUAGGAAACAUAAGAAACCUGCGUCACUUGCAAUUUUUGCAAUAUUCACUGUAAUCUUCAGGCCUCAAGUUCUGAUUAUCUGAUGAUUGUCUUUGAGUGCCUAUGUUAGUCAUCUUCUGCAAUAUUGUCAUCUGAAUACCAUGCUCUCAAAUAACAAAUAGAUUUGAAAAUCUUAUUGCUUGGGCUUCGUCCCCAUCAGUGGAGCUAUGGCUUUCAUUUCGUGUUUGUUCGAAAUUGCAUCGUGAGCCAGCACUAGCUGAACCACACAGUGCAAAGUUUGGACCUUCACCAUUCUUCUUUUAUCAUGGCUCUUACUCCAAGGUUUUGCUUGGGAAUUGGCUGUCUGUUA